AAUAGUUCCACAGAGCUGCCGCUGUUUGCCCUCUGAGGGUUUUAAACUGGAAUCUCCAGAACCUCUUCUAAAUCAGAGCUGGGUCAAACGAUUUCACGAAGGAUCUACAGGAAAAAAAAUGAACUCACUAAAUAAUUUUUUAUUCCAUAUCUCGUUUCUAAAACCUCAUAAUUAAGAAAGAAACUGAAGAAAAGGUUAUAAAAGUUAACAUCCCUGUGAACAAUCUUCCUCUAUUUUGUAUGUGGGUCGCCACCAGAUCGUGGCUGACAAGUAGUGUAGGUCCGUGCCCAAGAUCCAAACCCAUGAACCUGGGCCACUGAAGCGGAGUGCAUGAACUUAAUCACUGUGCCGCAGGGCCAGCCCAGCCUUACUCUUUCAGGAAGGUCAGCACAGCACCUGUAGUGACUGAAUACCUGAACCAGAUGCCUGGGCUGACAGGAUUCCACAAAGACCAAGCAAGCCAGAAAGUUUCUGCGAAAAUGGAGGAAUUUUCAAAAGCCAGAGAAAUGUGAGAUUAAUGAAAAGAGAGAGAUGUGGAAGAUCCUUAAAGGCCUUGCAGCGAGGAUAAGGGAAAACCACAGCAGAGGAGGGAAGCCACGUGAGGAUGCAGUGAGAAGUCAGCCACCUGAGCCCAGAAGAGGAUUCUCACCAGCACGCGACCAUACUGGCACCUAAUGUGGGGCUGCCAACGUCCAGAAUGAUGAGAAAUAAAUGUCUGUUGUUGAAAA
rnacentral:lncRNA from 1 species